CGAGAACACCCGGCGAAUUUAAGCAUAUUACUAACCGGAGGAAAAGAAACCAACAGGGACGUCCUCAGUAGCGGCGAGCGAAGCGGACGAUGCCCAAACCGAACCGCGGUUCCCGAGGGGGCCGCGGAGUGUGGAGAGGAUGAGCUCGCGAGGGGGCGGGACGGGUUCCAAUCCGUCUGGAAGGGCGGAGGCACGGAGGGCGAUUCCCCGUACGUGCUCGGUCCGUCCCCGACGAGCGAACGCAUCGGAGAGUCGGGGCCGCUUGAGAGUGCAGCCCGAAUGGGGUGGAUAGGUCUCAUCCAAGGCUAAGUACGUGGGAGACGCCGAUAGCGAACAAGUACGGCGACGGAAAGGUGAAAAAGAACCUCGAAAGGGGGGGUCAAAAGCGCUCGAAAUCGUAGAGGGG
rnacentral:rRNA from 1 species